CCGUCCUAGUCUCAACCAUAAACGAUGCCGACCAGGGAUCGGCGGAUGUUGCUUAUAGGACUCCGCCGGCACCUUAUGAGAAAUCAAAGUCUUUGGGUUCCGGGGGGAGUAUGGUGCGAAGGCUGAAACUUAAAGGAAUUGACGGAAGGGCACCACCAGGCGUGGAGCCUGCGGCUUAAUUUGACUCAACACGGGGAAACUUACCAGGUCCAGACAUAGCAAGGAUUGACAGACUGAGAGCUCUUUCUUGAUUCUAUGGGUGGUGG
rnacentral:ncRNA from 1 species